GCUGUAGCUCAAUGGCAGAGCACCUGCACUGCAGGCAGAAGGUCCCAGGUUUAAUCCCUGUUGUCUCCA